CUGAGCUUUGCUGGGCUGUACAGUGGCUGAGCUCAAUUGAUACGGUGCCGAGGUGCUGCGGUCGGCGUCUGCUGGAGAUCUUCAGAUGGAGGAUCUUGGCAGCGGAGGGUGACUUUAUGACUUCAAAACUCUCAGCAGGAUAAUGCUGUUUCAAAUGAAGAAGCAGAAUGAAGAAGCCUUUGUGUAGACUCGCAUCAGGUCUCCCAUGCUAAGAUUGCAUUGACCUUCACGAGGUGCCUGGAGGAGCAACUGCUGGAGUUGACAGGACCCUGUGUAUGCCAGCGUCUGUGGAGGUUCAGGGCUGUGUAACAGCUCACGACAUCUGCUCCAUCAUGAUGCCAAACAUCUUCAGCAAGAAAAUGGAACAGUGGCUCAACCUGCAGCUCUGCCAGAACAGCCUCCAUCUCUCUCUCCAUCAAGGUGAGCAAGGUCUGUUUCCUACCAGAGCUCGUUCUGUAGCACAUCUACAAAAGAGUGCAGUUUUUUGUGAGUUGACCCUAUUUGUAAGACCACAAACCACCCUCACAUGCCUGACACGAUGCACCAUGUCAGCAGCGACGGGAUGGAGUUGGGAAAAGCUCUGCAGGGCACAGAUGAAAUGCUCCCUGCUCUUGGUAAGACGAGGAGUGAUAACAAUAUUAUCCGGGAACUUUCCCCUUCCGCCUACCACUGCCACCUCCUCUCUCUCAAAAACACAAACAAGACAACCUGAUUUACAUGUUCAUAGCUGGGAGUGAUUGCCAGCUUAAUGAGCACUGCUAUUUAUAUCUAAAUAAUUGCACUCCUAAACAACUGCUUGGGGGGCAUCAGGAUGGAGGGAAAGAUUCUGUGCCAUGGUUUGAAGGGAUUCAGGCAGAUGUUGUCAGAAGGAGGAAUGCACAUCUCAUCCAAACUGCAAAAACAUUUUAAUGUGUUUUAGACAAACGGAGGGAAGCUGAACAAAGAGAGGCAUUGGAGCAGUGACACCGUAUAUGCAGAC